rnacentral:rRNA from 1 species
AGGAUGAACGCUGGCGGCGUGCUUAACACAUGCAAGUCGAACGGAAAGGCCCCGCUUGCGGGGUACUCGAGUGGCGAACGGGUGAGUAACACGUGGGUGAUCUGCCUUGUACUUCGGGAUAAGCUUGGGAAACUGGGUCUAAUACCGGAUAGGACCACUGUUUGGUGAUGGUGGUGGAAAGCUUUUGCGGUAUGAGAUGAGCUCGCGGCCUAUCAGCUUGUUGGUGGGGUAAUGGCCUACCAAGGCGUCGACGGGUAGCCGGCCUGAGAGGGUGUACGGCCACAUUGGGACUGAGAUACGGCCCAGACUCCUACGGGAGGCAGCAGUGGGGAAUAUUGCACAAUGGGCGGAAGCCUGAUGCAGCGACGCCGCGUGGGGGAUGACGGCCUUCGGGUUGUAAACUCCUUUCGAUAGGGACGAAGCGUAAGUGACGGUACCUGUAGAAGAAGCACCGGCUAACUACGUGCCAGCAGCCGCGGUAAUACGUAGGGUGCGAGCGUUGUCCGGAAUUACUGGGCGUAAAGAGCUCGUAGGUGGUUUGUCGCGUCGUCUGUGGAAGUCCGGGGCUUAACUCCGGGGGUGCAGGCGAUACGGGCAUAACUUGAGUGCUGUAGGGGAGACUGGAAUUUCCUGGUGUAGCGGUGGAAUGCGCAGAUAUCAGGAGGAACACCGAUGGCGAACGCAGGUCUCUGGGCAGUUACUGACGCUGAGGAGCGAAAGCAUGGGUAGCGAACAGGAUUAGAUACCCUGGUAGUCCAUGCUGUAAACGGUGGGCGCUAGGUGUAGGGGACUUCCACGUUUCCUGUGCCGUAGCUAACGCAUUAAGCGCCCCGCCUGGGGAGUACGGCCGCAAGGCUAAAACUCAAAGGAAUUGACGGGGGCCCGCACAAGCGGCGGAGCAUGUGGAUUAAUUCGAUGCAACGCGAAGAACCUUACCUGGGCUUGACAUACACCAGAUCGCCGUAGAGAUACGGUUUCCCUUGUGGUUGGUGUACAGGUGGUGCAUGGUUGUCGUCAGCUCGUGUCGUGAGAUGUUGGGUUAAGUCCCGCAACGAGCGCAACCCUUGUCUUAUGUUGCCAGCACGUGAUGGUGGGGACUCAUGAGAGACUGCCGGGGUUAACUCGGAGGAAGGUGGGGAUGACGUCAAAUCAUCAUGCCCCUUAUGUCCAGGGCUUCACACAUGCUACAAUGGUCGGUACAGCGCGUUGCUACAUCGUGAGGUGGUGCUAAUCGCUUAAAGCCGGCCUUAGUUCGGAUUGGGGUCUGCAACUCGACCCCAUGAAGUCGGAGUCGCUAGUAAUCGCAGAUCAGCAAUGCUGCGGUGAAUACGUUCCCGGGCCUUGUACACACCGCCCGUCACGUCAUGAAAGUUGGUAACACCCGAAGCCAGUGGCCUAUCCUUUAGUGGGGGGGAGCUGUCGAAGGUGGGAUCGGCGAUUGGGACGAAGUCGUAACAAGGUAACC